AUCAAUCCAUUCAGAUAGCGUGGCCCGGCCGAGAGGUCGCCUGCUCGCCACUGUGAGUUACAGAAGUGGCAGGAGCAGCGAAGGGGUCGAGCGCCGUCGUGUGUCGCCGCCGGGGGCCGUGCGUCGCCGUGUGUCGCCAGCCCGCGGCCAGCUACCGCAUGCGGCAGCCACACCGCAGGUCACAGCUCGCGGCAACUACGCGUGCGCACGCACGCACAAGCUAUCGUCGCGCCGCGAGCUUAGCCUGGCCACCCACAGCUGCCGCAACCACACGUGGGCUCUUCCGACACCCACCGCCCACGGUCGACCUGUGAGCCACACAUGCACCGCCGCGAAGCACCUCUUGAUCCCCUCCAUGGCCUCGUGCUCGCCGUCGCAGUCCAUCACCCUAGAGGCCGAGCGGGGCAAGAUCCGUGGAGCUGCGCAUGGGGUCACCAUAUCGUCAUCGUGCUUCUCAAUUCUGGUCGGGUAUCACUUGGGUCGGGCGGCAGAGAUGGCGAAUUCCUCCUCGUGUGCCUGAGGGUGGUGCAAUCCUAUACUUCGAGAAAUAAAAUCUUAUGGUUAUAUGCUAUGAGUUAAGGUGAAACCGUGAAAGGCUGCUUGAAUUGUAUGCCUCACUCACGUAAUGAAUCCUUUGUGCAGAGAGCUCUUUUUGAUGCCCUCAUAAGUAAUGAAUUUGCUACUCAGCAAAAACAGUAGCUAUUUGUGUUAUGGGAUACUGCUUGCUUCUUGUGUAAAAAUGACGAUAUGGCUUUAGUUUAUGCAAAAUAAUCAUCCAGGUAUUUAAAGUUCGUCCAA